rnacentral:rRNA from 1 species
UGGGGAAUUUUGGACAAUGGGGGCAACCCUGAUCCAGCAAUGCCGCGUGUGUGAAGAAGGCCUUCGGGUUGUAAAGCACUUUUGUCCGGGAAGAAAUCGCACCUGAUAAUACCGGGUGUGGAUGACGGUACCGGAAGAAUAAGGACCGGCUAACUACGUGCCAGCAGCCGCGGUAAUACGUAGGGUCCAAGCGUUAAUCGGAAUUACUGGGCGUAAAGCGUGCGCAGGCGGUUGUGCAAGACCGAUGUGAAAUCCCCGGGCUUAACCUGGGAAUUGCAUUGGUGACUGCACGGCUAGAGUGUGUCGGAGGGGGGUAGAAUUCCACGUGUAGCAGUGAAAUGCGUAGAGAUGUGGAGGAAUACCGAUGGCGAAGGCAGCCCCCUGGGAUAACACUGAGGCUCAUGCACGAAAGCGUGGGGAGCAAACAGG